rnacentral:rRNA from 1 species
UACUAGAGUAGCACUCGCAUAUCAAUAAGCGGAGGAAAAGAAACUAACAAGGAUUCCCCUAGUAACGGCGAGUGAAGCGGGAAGAGCUCAAAUUUGAAAUCUUAAAGGGUUUCCCUUUACGAAUUGUAGUUUAAAGAAGUGUUUUCUGUUGAGGUUUUGGUAAAAGUUCUUUGGAAUAGGACAUCAUAGAGGGUGAGAAUCCCGUAUUUGACCUUUACUUUCAACUUUGUGAUACACUUUCAAAGAGUCGGAUUGUUUGGGAAUGCAGUCCAAAAUGGGUGGUAAAUUUCAUCUAAAGCUAAAUAUUGGCGAGAGACCGAUAGCGAACAAGUACCGUGAGGGAAAGAUGAAAAGAACUUUGAAAAGAGAGUUAAACAGUACGUGAAAUUGUCAAAAGGGAAGCGUUUGACACCAGUGUUGUUUUUCUGAAAAUCAAUUAAAGAACUGUUUAUGCUAAGCUGUUUAGACUUUAUCAGCUAUCUGUUUAGUUUUGAGCUUUUCUUUAAUGCACUUUUCAGUUAACAAGUCAACAUCAAUUUCUUUUGCUGUAAAAAAGCUUGAGGAAGGUGGCUUGAGAUUCGUCUUAAGUGUUUAUAGCCUCUUGCCUAUGCAGUCGGAGAGAUUGAGGUCUGCAGCGUAGAUCCUUCGGGGCUAAAUGCAUUUGUGCUAAGCUUAUAGCAUUUUAUAGACAACUUGUUGACUAUGAUUUGUCUUGUAGCUUACUCGCUUAUGUUAUUUUACCUACGCUUAGGAUGUUGAGUCAUCACACAUCUCU